rnacentral:rRNA from 1 species
CCUACGGGGGGCAGCAGUGAGGAAUAUUGGUCAAUGGGCGCGAGCCUGAACCAGCCACGUAGCGUGAAGGAUGACUGCCCUACGGGUUGUAAACUUCUUUUAUAAAGGAAUAAAGUGAGGCACGUGUGCCUGUUUGUAUGUACUUUAUGAAUAAGGAUCGGCUAACUCCGUGCCAGCAGCCGCGGUAAUACGGAGGAUCCGAGCGUUAUCCGGAUUUAUUUGGUUUAAAGGGAGCGUAGAUGGGUUGUUCAGUCAGUUGUGCAAGUUUGCGGCUCAACCGUAAAAUGUCAAUUGUAACUGGCAGUCUUGAGUACAGUUGAGGUAGGCGGAAUUCGUGGUGUAGCGGUGAAAUGCUUAGAUAUCACGAAGAACUCCGAUUGCGAAGGCAGCUUACUAAACUGCCACUGACAUUGAUGCUCGAAAGUGUGGGUAUCAAACAGGAUUAGAUACCCGGGUAGUC